rnacentral:rRNA from 1 species
UACAGAGGGUGCGAGCGUUGUCCGGAAUCACUGGGCGUAAAGGGCGCGUAGGCGGCUUGAUAAGCGUGCGGUGAAAUCCCGGGGCUCAACCCCGGAACUGCCUUUAAUACUGGCAAUCUCGAGUCCGAGAGAGGUGAGUGGAAUUCCGAGUGUAGAGGUGAAAUUCGUAGAUAUUCGGAGGAACACCAGUGGCGAAGGCGGCUCACUGGCUCGGUACUGACGCUGAGGUGCGAAAGCGUGGGGAGCAAACAGG